rnacentral:pre_miRNA from 1 species
UUAACUCAAAUUUGUAUGGAGUUGGAACGUAUGUCUACGUUUGCCGCUAAGGUUUGUUCCCGCUGCAUAUAAAUUUGACAUA